CUUUGUCUAAGUUUAGGAUAUAAUGACUCCAUAGAGAAUUCAUUAUUAUAUAUUAAUGCUGCAUCAGCAGUUUUGUAGCUUCUAAUAAACAUUUGCACCAUCAGCACAAACUUGACUUUAAGUGCAUUCCCCCUUAAUUUUUUAUCAUUUAAGUUCAUCUAUCAUUGCACCCCCCACCCCCUUAUUUUUUAACACUUAAGUCCAUUCACUGUAGAAAAAAAAAACAUAUCAAGUAAAAAUUGAAAAAAUGGUUGUAAUUUAAUAUACAGGUUAGGUGUGAUAAAACAGAAAUGUGUACAAUGCUCGAAAUUAAUCAUGUUAUCAUCUUUUCUAGGUGGUCUCCUCAGUACCAAAGAAUUACAAAUCAUCUGUUUAAGACCAAAAUAUUAAUUAAACUGGGAAGCCAAUACUAAUUUAAACAAAACUUCAGCCAAACUGGACAAUAGAUACUGGUUUAAAGUAGCACUACUAAAACUGGUUAACCAUUACAGUUAAAACCUGAACAUCAUUAAAAUAAGGCAACAUAUACUGCUCAAAAUCAGAAUACAUUUUUAUUAGCAAAAUAUGUCAAUCAAUGGGACAAAAAUUCAAACGGACUAUCACAAACAUACAUGUUACAGGAAAAAGAUUCAUAGUAGCCUAUACUACUGAAAAAAAGUUGGGUCAGGCCCCUAAACUUUUAUGAAAUGCCCGUAGUGCUUACAUUAAUUUUCAAUGUGGCAGGUUGUUAGAAAUGUUAAGUCUUAUUCCCUGUGUAACCUUUCCUGUUCUUCAAGACUAGGAAGUGAAAAGUAUUUACAAGUUUUUCAUGACCAGGAAGGGAUAAGUAUUAAGAUGUCUAGCUGAUAAAUUAUGAGUAAAUCUCUAGUGAAACAUUAUUUGUUGGUAGAUAGAGGAAACAAGAACAAUACUUUCAAGUACAAGCAUUCAUAAUUCCAAGUAGAAUUUCAGCAUAGAAGGAGCUGAAGAAGGUAACCAUAGAGGAAGAUCCAAUACGUACAAAAAUCUUACAUCAAAUACUGUCGAUUCUUUUUUUUUCGUGGGUACUAAUUUUUGAUGAUUAAGAAUACAUAUUUGUGGAUAAUUUCGUGGUUUUGCCAGAGUCUGCAUACAACCGAUAAGGAAAUUUGUUUUUCAUUGAGUAUUUAUCUUUGAGAUUCAUCGACACCAAGGAAAUCCACUAAAAUUGAUAUCCAACGAAAAAUAAAGAAGCCACAGUACUUUUAAAGGAGAAAUUACUGAAAAAAAUGAUUAAAGAAAUCAGACUUCUAACGCUAUUUUGUACCAAUAUAGAGAAGAAGAGAUAACCCACCCUACAAUCUCCUACGACUUAUCAAUUUUCUCUAACCAGGAAGUAAUAACAUAUUCAGACAUAUUCAGACAAUAAGCCUAAUUUAGACUUAAGGAAAAUAAAACCACAACACCACAGAAUAUAAAUAUAGAUCUGUUCUGUACAUGUCAGGAUGUUCUAUUGGACUAGGUCCAGCAUAGAUGUUGCAUAGUAAAGUUAUAAAAGGACAAGGUUAGCUGUAAGUAGAAUGUCGUCUGCACAGGAAUUACUUACUAGAUGGUGACAAAGGUUAGAUCAAACUGGGAUUAAAAAGAAGACAGAAAUAUAUUUAGUGGAUACAUGAAAGUGUCCAGUAACAAUUGGGAUCUUUCUGUUAUAAAGGAGAUCAGAUGUAAUAGCAAACAAACAAACAUAAUGUCUUAUUUAUAAACUAAUAACAGUAGAAACCAAUCAGGAUGUUCAAUUGAAAAUAAGAAAUUCUUUUUAAAAUUCUUAAACUUGUCAUGAGCUAAAUUUUCUUGAAAAUUACUGCUGAAGUUGACAUUUUUUUUUGGAUCUUUUUUUUUUCUUCUAUUAAUGACGGUCACCAAUUUAUGAGCAAAAAAAACACUAAUAAAGUUCAUUUCAUGUCCUAUGAGAUUUUAAUUAAACCAAUUCUAAACUUUCUUGAUUGUCUAAGAGUUGUCUCUCUUUAAUUAACAAAGUAAACAUAAAAAAAGUAAAGUACUAAUAUUUUAACUUAUUUAUCAUACUUUGUAUUUAUUAAGUCCUUACAUGUAUGUUUACAAGUUGAUUAAGGUGAAGAAACCUAGCACUAAAAUUAUUCUUUUGACGUUUGACAUAUUGAUAACAUGUGACUUUUUUUAAGUAGGCAUGACAUUUUGGGAUCUUUUCCUUAACAUUUCAACAUUAACACCUGUGGAUUAUAAAGAGAUAUAUUGAAACUCUUAUGGCAUUCAGAACGUGCAACCGUAAUGUUAUAUAAGCACCUAUGUAUGUAAUCAGGCCUUGCAGCUCAUAAAAAAUAAAGUUUUCAACAUGAAAAGAUUAAUGAAUCAAUUAAUAAUUGAAUUGAAACCAUGUACUAAGAAGACAUACAACAGACAUAAUUUGUCUUUACAACAGGUUGCCAAUUCUAACAGUAACAGCAGAAGACCUUGCCAAGAUGGGAACAUCACUCAUGUUGGACUCAAUCCUAACUACUAAUUGUCACAUUUAAAUAUAAGUCUGGCACUGUCAGUAUCACUUGAAGGAAAGUUAAUGAAUUCACUGACUCAACAUAAUAAUCUUUCCUUUUUAUAUAUAGUUAUCAUGUCUAUAGACCAUGUAGAUAAACAAAUGACAGUAUAAGUGUCAACAGAAUUUUUUUUGAAUGGAGAAAAUUGCUUUGAAUUCUCAGAUGUAUAUGUCGACAUAUUGUACUGAUAAUUGUACAUUGCUGAAAACCAUUUCAUGUUUUUGUUUGGGUUGCUGCCUCUUUAAUAAUAAUUAUUGUAUUGUCUUAUUAAUGUAUACAUCCUUAUUGUUUCCAAUUUAGAUCCUAAUCAGUCCCUACAGUUAAUUGUUAGAAUUCAUUAUCUUCAAAUUUUCCUUUGAUCAGACAAUGGACAAGACCAUAGAGUUGGGUCAACAUGCUCUCUUCCAUGAAUGUACAUUAGAAGUAAGAGAUGACAAAUAAGGACAUGUGCACUUGUUCUGAUCUCCUGUUAGCCAAGACUUCAUUGAAGUCAAUAUUAUCAAACACUGCUUAUGGUGGUUUUAUUCCAACUCCAUGGUGUACAAUAUGGAAAUAUUGUUGUAAAUGUUGUAUAUGUACCUUUACUGGUCAAAAACUUUACAUUAAUAUGGAAUGUAGCUAUACUGGUCAAAAAAUUGGAUAACAUAGAACUGAAUUUGGAUAUUUUUUUUUAACUUGUGCCAUGUGCACAAUAUACAACUAUAAUAAAAGAUUUUCUCAACUGUUUAUUUAAGACGUCACCACAAUAAUGAAUGCAAAAUAUACAUUAUACAUAUCAAUGAUUAUUCAUUCAUUGAAACCCUUUCAAACUUUUUUUUAUUUUU
rnacentral:lncRNA from 1 species